GUGUCCUGUCCCAGGUGCAUCUGCAGGAGUCUGGCCCAGGACUGGUGAAGCCACAGCAGACCCUCUCCCUCACCUGUGCUGUCUCUGGAUUCUCCAUCACAACCAGUGGUUAUUGCUGGAGCUGGGUCCGCCAGCCUCCAAGGAAAGACCUAGAGUGGAUGGGAAUCAUAUGCUAUAAUGGUGCCACAGCAUAUAACCCAUCCCUCAAGAGCCACACCUCCAUCUCCAGCGACACGUCCAAGAACCAGUAUUCCCUGCAGCUGAGUUCUGUGAUCACAGAGGACACAGCCACGUAUUACUGUGCAAGAGACACAGUGACGGGAA